rnacentral:rRNA from 1 species
UACAGAGGGUGCGAGCGUUAAUCGGAAUUACUGGGCGUAAAGCGUGCGUAGACGGCUAUCUAAGUCGGGUGUGAAAGCCCCGGGCUCAACCUGGGAAUUGCAUUCGAGACUGAAUAGCUAGGGUACGGUAGAGGGAAGCGGAAUUUCCGGUGUAGCGGUGAAAUGCGUAGAUAUCGGGAGGAACACCAGUGGCGAAGGCAGCUCGCUGGGACGUGACUGACGCUGAGACGCGAAAGCGUGGGGAGCAAACAGG